rnacentral:precursor_RNA from 13 species
ACAACCUCUGGUCAUACGCAGUGGGGUGUGUGGAAGUUGCACAUCAUGCCGUGUGAUGGUGGAAUAUGCUGCAUAGUGUGUGACCUCCCUACACAGUGCUGUGUCUCUCUCAGCCGCACGU